rnacentral:tRNA from 1 species
UGCCGAGAUCGUCCGUUCGUUCUGACACGCGGAAUCAUAAUCCGCGUGUCGGGGGUUCAAAUCCCUCCUCCGCUACCA